rnacentral:lncRNA from 1 species
UAAAGAAAUAAAUUAUCUUAAUUUAAAUUUAUUUGAAAAAAAAAGAUCCCCCAAUAUAUUAUAAGGGUUCGAACUGCUGCUCUCCAAGUUCGAGAGCAGCAGCUCUCACCACUCGGCCUUUGGCCGAGUGGCUCGUGUGCUUAUUUAACUCUUGUGCAAAAUUUAAUGUUCUUACAAUAUAUUAUAUGGACACCCAUUUCCAUCACCUUGCAUUGGGACCUCUUUCUCUCUCCUCCAGCACCCGUGGAAGUUCCCCAUUAGCUGCUGUUACUUACAGAAGCCGUAACAUAGACUUCUCCUAUAAAUAGUGGACACGUGGCAUAAGAUCAGUUACUUUCGAUAGAGACAAGUUAAUAAAUUUUUUUUUUUUCUUUUCUAAAUAAAAAAGGAUCAUGAAAUGAAUUUGAUAAUACCGAGCAGGCCAUGGUGGCAUGGAGAAUCCGACAGGGAUGGCAAGAAGUUUUGUCAUUAUAUAUGUAAUAUGCAUUAAUCUCAUGGAAGCAAAAUAGAUAUAACACAAUUUAUUAAUAAAGUGAGUGAUGGUUAGUGAUUGAUGAUUGUUCUAAUUAUAAUUUGCCACGCGUCCUUAUCCGCUUGAGAGUGUCAUCAAUUGUUUGAUACUUGGGAUUGGGGAAUCGUAUACGUACAUUGUAAUAUUAAAACUUAAAAUUUGGCAACAUUGGGACUCAUUUGGAUCAAUUUUAUUAUGAUAGAGUUUAAAUUUUUAGUCUCAUUAAUUUAAAGAGAUAUAUUUAUUCUAUUCAUAAAUUAAUAAAAA